AAGUCAUAAAAAAGUUGAAACGAAGGCAAUGGUCAUAAAAAUUAUUAUCCACAAUCCGCAGAAAUGCAAUUUCUUUCGCAGGGAAAGACGGGCAGGCAAGAAAAAUUAAAGACUGGCAAUCAAUUCAGGCGAAUCUGUCAUCGUGACAGAUAAAUAUUAUCAUUGCAUGGCUCGUGGCCGGUCUGCUGGCCAGGCCAAAUAGAUAUAGCCAUCUAUCAGCUGGCAGCUUUGGGGUGCAGAGGUCAUGUGUCUGUGGAUCAAUAUUUAUUGCAAAUUAUGGCUCGGCCACCACACUUUCCGUGUGGCCCACGGGGCGUAUGUGCAACAUUCCGGUUGGCCGCAAGUGCUGUGCAUUAAUUAUGCGAUUCUGAGUGUUUCUGGACUGGAUGGAUGUGUGAUUUGCGGUAGGGCUGUCGAACUCGAGUCGCUCUAAAUGGGCCCAGCUAAUGUAAUUAGGUUUCCUGAUUAAAAUGACAGGAAAAGCACAAUAAGCAAGAGUAAGCACAUGGCACUGCAGUCAAGUCAAAGAUAAAGAGGACUCAAAUCAGAUGACAUGGCAGAACACUCACAGGAUGCGUAAAACAAAUGCGACAGAGCCUGGCUGAAAGAAGCUGGCCAGACGGACUGACAGAAUGACAAAGUGACGAACUGACGCAAUGACAGCGGCACAGAACAACAAACGUUCUCGGCAUUCCUUCAAGCCAUCUUGACACUGAGAAAUGUGGCAUUGUGGGUGCUCCGAGCUUUUAUUUUUCUCCAGCCCGCGUGACUCGUUGUUUUUUUCCACCCAACAGCAACAUCAUCAUUAUGGCCCAGAAAAAGGCAGCAGCUGUUCCAGGAGCAAGGAUCCUCGGGCCAGGAGCCAGAAGACAGGAGCUCCUUGUGCCAGUGCGAUUGAGCUGAAAUGUGGCAAAUCAGCGCUGCUCCUUGCCACACCUUUAUAAGGUUCUCGGUUCCCUGGUUAAUGAUGAUGAGGACGACAGGUGGGGUGCUGAUGUUAAUGUCUGUCGGGUUGUCACCAUCUAGUUGGCAUUUUCCAAGCUAUCAAAUAUCUGGGGUCGCGAGUCACAAAAGUCGACGAGUCAUUCUUGGAGAGGAAGGAGUUAUAGCCCCUUAAAUAUUUAUAGUUAGAAGGAAAUACCUUACUUUUUUAUACUCUGGUAUUUAUACAAAAACAGGUAGGAACCAGUCUGCAAUUUUUAUUUAAUUGGUAAAAAAACCUUUAAAAUAUACAUUCUAAUUUGUUUCAAUCAUUCACCCAGUCAGUCGGAAAAAUGUUUAGAGAACAUUUCCGACAUGUGGUUUGCGGAAACAUUUUUUGCUACUUCCAGUUGCAUAAAAAAUGCAUGGCAAAUAACGAUACGGAAUU